rnacentral:lncRNA from 1 species
ACUGAAUUGAACAGGAACAGAUUACAUAAAACUACAGCAAAAUCAACAGCACAGAUACAUGCUAGCCCAUGUGCACUUUGUGAGCCCUGCAGGAAUGCUUAGCCGCAACUACCAUGGCUGGAGGCCCAGUGAACGACGUAGCAGAUGGCCUAUCUCCCCUUCCACCUGAAUGCUACCAUGAUAACCACCACUUUAAAGGCCGCA